rnacentral:rRNA from 1 species
AGUGAACGCUGGCGGUAGGCCUAACACAUGCAAGUCGAACGGCAGCACAGUAAGAGCUUGCUCUUACGGGUGGCGAGUGGCGGACGGGUGAGGAAUACAUCGGAAUCUACUUUUUCGUGGGGGAUAACGUAGGGAAACUUACGCUAAUACCGCAUACGACCUACGGGUGAAAGCAGGGGAUCUUCGGACCUUGCGCGAUUGAAUGAGCCGAUGUCGGAUUAGCUAGUUGGCGGGGUAAAGGCCCGCCAAGGCGACGAUCCGUAGCUGGUCUGAGAGGAUGAUCAGCCACACUGGAACUGAGACACGGUCCAGACUCCUACGGGGGGCAGCAGUGGGGAAUAUUGGACAAUGGGCGCAAGCCUGAUCCAGCCAUACCGCGUGGGUGAAGAAGGCCUUCGGGUUGUAAAGCCCUUUUGUUGGGAAAGAAAAGCAGCAGGUUAAUACCCCGCUGUUCUGACGGUACCCAAAGAAUAAGCACCGGCUAACUUCGUG